rnacentral:rRNA from 1 species
UUUGAUUUCAAAGAGUGGCGAACGGGUGAGUAACACGUGGGUAACCUACCUCUUAGCAGGGGAUAACAUUUGGAAACAAGUGCUAAUACCGUAUAAUACCAACAACCGCAUGGUUGUUGGUUGAAAGAUGGUUCUGCUAUCACUAAGAGAUGGACCCGCGGUGCAUUAGCUAGUUGGUAAGGUAAUGGCUUACCAAGGCAAUGAUGCAUAGCCGAGUUGAGAGACUGAUCGGCCACAAUGGGACUGAGACACGGCCCAUACUCCUACGGGAGGCAGCAGUAGGGAAUCUUCCACAAUGGGCGCAAGCCUGAUGGAGCAACGCCGCGUGUGUGAUGAAGGGUUUCGGCUCGUAAAACACUGUUAUAAGAGAAGAACGGCACUGAGAGUAACUGUUCAGUGUGUGACGGUAUCUUACCAGAAAGGAACGGCUAAAUACGUGCCAGCAGCCGCGGUAAUACGUAUGUUCCAAGCGUUAUCCGGAUUUAUUGGGCGUAAAGCGAGCGCAGACGGUUAUUUAAGUCUGAAGUGAAAGCCCUCAGCUCAACUGAGGAAUUGCUUUGGAAACUGGAUGACUUGAGUGCAGUAGAGGAAAGUGGAACUCCAUGUGUAGCGGUGAAAUGCGUAGAUAUAUGGAAGAACACCAGUGGCGAAGGCGGCUUUCUGGACUGUAACUGACGU